CCUACGGGAGGCAGCAGUGAGGAAUAUUGGUCAAUGGGCUUACGCCUGAACCAGCCAAGUCGCGUGAGGGAAGACUGCCCUAUGGGUUGUAAACCUCUUUUGUCAGGGAGCAACGCCGGCUACGUGUAGCCGGACUGAGAGUACCUGAAGAAAAAGCAUCGGCUAACUCAGUGCCAGCAGCCGCGGUAAUACGGAGGAUGCGAGCGUUAUCCGGAUUGAUUGGGUUAAAAGGGUGCGUAGGCGGAAUGCCAAGUCAGCGGUAAAAUCGCGGGGCUCAACCUCGCUCCGCCGUUGAAACUGGCGUUCUUGAGUGGGCGAGAAGUAUGCGGAAUGCGUGGUGUAGCGGUGAAAUGCAUAGAUAUCACGCAGAACUCCGAUUGCGAAGGCAGCAUACCGGCGCCCAACUGACGCUGAAGCACGAAAGCGUGGGUAUCGAACAGGAUUAGAUACCCGGGUAGUC
rnacentral:rRNA from 1 species